rnacentral:rRNA from 1 species
UACAGAGGGUGCAAGCGUUGUUCGGAAUUAUUGGGCGUAAAGGGCGCGUAGGCGGUGUCGCAAGUCCGUGGUGAAAGUCUCCAGCUUCAACUUGGAGUCUGCCGACGGAAACUGCGGUGCUAGAGUGUGGGAGAGGUGCGUGGGAAUUCCCGGUGUAGCGGUGAAAUGCGGUAGAUAUCGGGAAGGAACACCUGUGGCGAAAGCGGCGUACUGGACCACUGACUGACGCUGAUGCGCGAAAGCGUGGGGAGCAAACAGGAUUAGACGUACCCCUGUAAGUCCGAUGACCCAAG